rnacentral:rRNA from 1 species
UACGUAGGGUGCAAGCGUUGUCCGGAAUUAUUGGGCGUAAAGAGCUCGUAGGCGGUCUGUCGCGUCGGCUGUGAAAUCCCGAGGCUCAACCUCGGGUCUGCAGUCGAUACGGGCAAACUGGAGUGUUGCAGGGGAGACUGGAAUUCCUGGUGUAGCGGUGAAAUGCGCAGAUAUCAGGAGGAACACCGGGUGGCGAAGGCGGUUCUCUGGGCAUUACCUGACGCUGAGGAGCGAAAGUGUGGGGAGCGAACAGG